GCGAAUAUAUUAUUUACUGGAAUGAAGAAUCAUUUCAUAUAAGAAAAACCUACAAGUCAUUCAAUGGUUAAUGUGUUUAUCACAUGAACCGUGAAACGUAUAAAACCCUCCUGAAAAUUCUUUAUCCUUGAAUGGAAAUUUAAUGGAAUCUUUAUUCCAACUGAUUAUUUACUUCUAAUUCCUAUUAGCGUACAGCACAUUUGUUUUCUGUACAUGAUUGGUUGCAAUGGUACUCUCAAUUACAUCACAUAAGCAGAGAAAGAAUCACCCAUACUGCCUUGGAUGCCACUCACCUUCACUAUGCUGAAAUUGGUUCAUUCCAACAUUUCACCAUGCUUAAAAAGCUAAUGAACCAAACUCUAAGAGGCCACCUUAGCUCUGGCUGCUGUCUUCUACCUUUUGAAAUGAGAAACCAUUGACAAGGUUGAGGAAUUGCUCUGGCUCCUCACCUACUCUAACAAUCUGCAUAGGGGUAUUUGCAGGGAGAUUCAUUUGAUCAAGGAAGUUGUGACCGAUCACCUUCCAAUCUGUAUGAAUAUCUUUGAGACUGCUAGUGCCGCUUAUAAAUUCACUUUGCCCUUUUUCACAUAAAACUUUCUGCCCCAACCAGACAUAUAAUAUUCCAGAAUUAUUUGAAUGCAAUGUUAAGUCUGGAGCCAACAAAAUAUACACUGACCCAGAAUCAGGGAUGUUAAGGCAAUGCAUGUCAACUUUGUUCAUGUUAGGCCACUGAUAACAAAUUGGAGUGGUAAUUUGAGCAGCUUUCCCAGUCUCAUUGCACAAGGGAAGAUGGGAGUUACUGUAUUCUUUUCCCUCUUCAAACUCGCUUUGUGCACAAUCGCCUGCACUGCUGGUAUCAACAUCCAACAUUUGUUCUUCCCUACUACUUUCACGCUCAAAUAGCUCACUGUGAAUAUCUUUCAUGUCAUCAUCAUUCAAGUCCUGAAGAGAAAAAGACCAGGAUCUUACCAGGUUUCUGGUGACUUGAGACGGCUCAUCAACUGAGGGUAACAACAUAUGGGAAGGAGGGUUACUCCCUCUCCGCACUGCAAUAGAAGGGGGAAUCCCUUUAAAUGGCAAAGAAGUAUUUUCUGAUCUCAAAGGUUGAUUAUCAGAAAACACCUUUCCAGUGGAGGAUGGAGUUUCUUUGUAAGGUAAACAAAAAUUAUCUGCUGGGGGAGCAUUCUUGGCAUAAAAUGGAUCUGUGGCUUCCAAGCCAGAAGGUGAAGGCUGCCGGGACGACAAGUAUGACAAGUCAGACCAAUUAGAGGACGAGGGUGAAAAGGCAAAUGAACUAGAUGAGUACUCAGAGGUUGAAGGUGAGAGUGUAGGGGACUUAUAACCAAACUUUGGGCUGCUGUCUAGAAAACAUGAAAAAGAAUCUGGAGAACCACUGGGAGUAGGUGGUGGCAAUAAAGGAUCAGUGAGGGGAACAGAGUGUUCUACCUCACUAGAAUUCAUUAUCCUAUCUGGGCUGCUGUUCAGGAAAGGUUCAAAGGAAUCUGGAGAACCACAUGGAAAAGCUGAUGGUGAUGAUAAUGGAUAAUCAACAGGUUUUUCAGAUUCUCUACAAGCAUCUAUAAUCAUAUCUGAUCCGCCAAUGGAUGAAACAUGAUCAUGCUUCAGUUUGGAUGAUGCGAGAAAUUCUUUCAUUAUACCAUUAGCAAACUUCUGCCUUAGUCUGCCCCAUCCAUUUUCCCUGGCAGGGAGGCAGGUUUCUGAUCCAGCAUUUGAUACUGAAAAUGGAGGAACAACCCCACCAGCAAGUGCCUUGUGGAAAAGUUCAAAAUCCGAAUCAUAUUCCUCAACCUUCCUCUCACAAACCCCGCUACAAAUUGCUGCAGCAAUGUUCUCAUUUUUCCCAGAAGACGAAGCGGCUUCUUUUCUAUGCUCUACUUUUUGGCAUCCAUCAGCUGGGAUUUGUCCAUUGGCAAUAGCAUCCCAAAAUUCUGAUGGUUCUUCCCCUUCUUUGAUGAUCACAAUUGGACCUUGAGCCCUUUCAUAACGGAUGACCUGAUUGGCAGCUACUUUUGCUUGGUUUGACAUAACUGAGUUGCAAUUCUUCCCAAUCCAAACAAAGAUUGCAGUAGGAAUAUGGACAAUGAACGCACCCCGAGAGUCAAGUCCUCUUGCGUCUGGCUGGCUCAACAUUUUUGGCACAAGAUGAAGAGGAUCAUAUGAUGAGUGUGGAGCCAUCCUAUACAUCCUAAGCACAGAAUUUGGGCUAGCUGGCACAGCAUGAACACGCUUCUGGCACUGCAGAAGUUGACAAGCAAAACCCAUAUUUGGAUUUGUUACUCCUCUAGCUGCCUUCACAUAUUGAAAGGCAUCUUCAAAGCUUUGGCCCUCCCUCCACAUAAGGUAGGCAAUGACCAAAGAAGUGGACCUUGAAACUCCUUGGCAACAAUGAACAAGAACCCUUCCACCCUGUUCUCGAACAUCUUCAAAGUAAUCAAACACAUCAUAUAGAAUGCUUGUGAUAUCCUCUGAUGGGCUAUCUUGCAACCAAAGCGUUUUGUACACAAGAUCGGUCUUGAAAUACUCAUUACAGACAAAACCAACACAAUUCAGCACAUGAGUAAUCCCAUUUUGGCGCAAAAUUUCGCGAUUCUUAGCCACAGCAUCACUUCCUAAAUAAAUAUGACCAGCAAUCCUCGAGCACUCCUUAUCAAAAAAUGCAAGCUUAUCCUUCUUAAACUGAAAUUCCUUCACAGGCUGCUCAAUAUUAGAAUUGUCGAGGGCUUUAACAGGGCCUCUUGGGGUCUGGGGAUUAGGCCACACCCCAAGAUCAUCAGGGCCAGCCGUAGGCCACUCCUCAACAGGACGGCGGGCGAUUGAAAGGGGCUGGAGGGGAGGCAAACAGGACCGAGCCUUGCUGUUGGGUUGGGGUCUGGGGUUAGGUUGAGUGGGAGACUUGUCAGUCCAAGAAACGGACCGUAAAUAGUUUUUCCGGGGAAUACCACCUGCAAGGCGGUCAUUAUCUUGCUGGCCUAACAUCUGAAACUCAGCUCAAUGAAAUUCCACAAAUAAACGGAUACCCAUUAAAGGAUUCUUCUAGGAAAGGCCAUCGAAAAAGGGAAGUUGGUUUCUUCACAAUAAAUAACUGAUUGUGAAAUCUCA
rnacentral:misc_RNA from 1 species